AUUGAACGCUGGCGGCAUGCUUUACACAUGCAAGUCGAACGGUAACAGGCCGCAAGGUGCUGACGAGUGGCGAACGGGUGAGUAAUGCAUCGGAACGUGCCCAGUCGUGGGGGAUAACUACUCGAAAGAGUAGCUAAUACCGCAUACGAUCUAUGGAUGAAAGCGGGGGACCGUAAGGCCUCGCGCGAUUGGAUCGGCCGAUGUCAGAUUAGGUAGUUGGUGGGGUAAAGGCUCACCAAGCCAACGAUCUGUAGCUGGUCUGAGAGGACAACCAGCCACACUGGGACUGAGACACGGCCCAGACUCCUACGGGAGGCAGCAGUGGGGAAUUUUGGACAAUGGGCGCAAGCCUGAUCCAGCAAUGCCGCGUGCAGGAAGAAGGCCUUCGGGUUGUAAACUGCUUUUGUACGGAACGAAACGGCUCUGGUUAAUACCCGGGGCUAAUGACGGUACCGUAAGAAUAAGCACCGGCUAACUACGUG
rnacentral:rRNA from 1 species